rnacentral:rRNA from 1 species
UACGAAGGGGGCUAGCGUUGCUCGGAUUUACUGGGCGUAAAGGGCGCGUAGGCGGCAUGACAAGUCACUUGUGAAAUCUCUGGGCUUAACUCAGAACGGCCAAGUGAUACUGCAGUGCUAGAGUGCGGAAGGGGCAAUCGGAAUUCUUGGUGUAGCGGUGAAAUGCGUAGAUAUCAAGAGGAACACCUGAGGUGAAGACGGGUUGCUGGGCUGACACUGACGCUGAGGCGCGAAAGCCAGGGGAGCAAACGGG